AGCCUAUCCACGUCACCAUCCAGCCUGGAAAUUCGUUUGUUCUCGCGUCAACACGUGUCCAGCCGUACUAAACUCGGCGUUUCAUUAAGUCAAUGUGUUGGGUUUGGGCUUAUUUCUUUUAUUUUUAUGUCGCUGUGAUCUGGGCUCCGACGGGAUGCGAUGCGUCUCUCCUCUUUGUCUGCGGUGACUUCUUAUCUUCAUCUGAAUCGUUGAAACGCUCCCAGUUUUCUUUUCUUCGUGUUUAAUCCCUUAUUAAUUUCGACAACCACCAUCUAGCCUUCAAUGCGAUCUUUCUUCGCCAAGUUAGUCUAUCUAAGACUAUAAAAAAGUCAGCAAUCUUCAUCUCGAAAUCAUCUUCUAUUUCCUUCUUAGUAGACUUAUUCAGAUUGCUAACUCAAAGAGGUUCAUCGUCGCCUGCGAAAGCUUAUUUGGCAUACCAUCAUGAAGUUCUGAAAGUCUCAGAGAGAGAGGUGUCUCCAUCAGUAAUCGCUGCUUCUAUGUCGGUUCUGUGUGCUUUGAUAUCGUCUCAUCUCCUCAAAAUCGCUAAUAGCUCAUUCAAUGAUUCUAACCCUUCUUUCAUCCAGUAUAUCUCCACCUAUAGAAAGUGGAGGUGUGGCUGCUCAGGUUCUUGGAAGCCAGAAUCGGUGGCGAUUUAAUGGGUGUUAACAUGCUCUUUGUCGAUUCUCAGGUGACUCUCAUUCCAGCCACCAUUGAAAAGGCGGUGCAGUUCAUAAACAGCACUCGAGAUUGAAGAGGUAGUGGUUCAUGGUCUGGAAGUUAGGUAGUUUGCUACACAUAUGCAACAUGGUUUGCUCUUGGAGGCUUGGCACGAACUGGUAAAACAUAUGAAAACUAUUUAGGUAUGCGUGAAGGUGUUGUCUUCCUUCUCAAGAAACUAAACAGCAAUGGAGGUUGGGGAGAAAGCUAUGUGUCUUAGAAAAGAGAUACAUGGAAUUAGAAGGAGGACCGAAGAUCAAACCUGGUGCGAACCUCUUGGGCAUUGAUGGGUCUGAUUCAAACAAGACAGGCCGAGAGAGAUUUAUUGCGUCUACACUGCCUUGGGAAUCUGAUCAUCGAUUCACAUUUAGAAAACAUACACUACUGACUAUCCUCAACAGGAAAUGACAGGAGUGUUCAUGAAGAAGAAUUGUAUUCUAAACUGUUACCUACAAGGAAAAUAACAUAUGAACUUUUGAAGAAAUAACUCAGUGGAAGCAAGGAAUUGUAUUUGCAGAAACCAUGAAUUUUGUUCCGAGAACUCUUUUUCUGUUUUCUAACUAUUACUGGUCACACAGACAAGUAGUUACAGAUAGUCAAACAAUAACAGUGUACUUACUUUAUGCCAGUUCAAAAUAUUGAGUUUUAUUAGAAAAUAGCGUAACACAUGUGUUACAUUCCGAAUAAUUAUGAAAACCAAUGUAU